GUGGAUGUAGCUCAGUUGGUUAGAGCGCCAGGUUGUGGCCCUGGAGGUCGUGGGUUCGAUCCCCUUCAUUCACC
rnacentral:tRNA from 1 species